rnacentral:pre_miRNA from 1 species
UUAACGAAUAUUUGUAUGGAAUUGGAACGUUUGCCUAAGUUUGCCGCUAGGGACGCUGUUCUCAUUGCAUAAUUUGAGUUA